rnacentral:lncRNA from 1 species
ACGAAACUAUUCCGAACACUACGCUGCAGAAAACAGGUUCACAAUUCAAUCCGUGUGUUUCGUGAUCAAGUCCAGGGAAAUUAAAUAGAGGAAAAUCAAAGAAGAAAUUAGGUUAAUCGAGAACAGUUAGCCGUUUAAAUCCACCGUAUCAGGCAUGAUAUCUUUUUUAUAUUUUAAUCUUCAUUCUGACACAGUAAUCUUAACAUGCUGCAAACCGAUGAAACACAAACAGUUCAACUCCAUCAACUAUUAGAUAAAUGAUUAUCCAUGACAAAAUGAAGAAAAAUGCUCUAUAAUUCAAAUAAUUGAUGUAAAAAGUCACUAGACUAUCAAUUUCUUAAGAUCUUCAAUUCCAAUAAAAGUGUAUCAAUCGGAAAAACACAAACUCGAUUAAGAUGGGAACAAGCAAGAAGCAUUACAAUCCACUUAAUGGAAAAAGAAAAAUAGAACCCAGAGAAAUAAUUUCCAAAGAUGAAAGAACACAUUGACCCAUAAUUGCAGAGAUAAAUAAAGCUCGCAGUAACCAUUGAAAAGCAAAAAUCAAAUCCAAGAUUCAGAAUCCGGAGUAGAGAUCACCAAAUCAUGUAAUAAGACAGCCACAACCCACACCACACAUUCACUGAUCUUCCCAGAGAGAUCAGAGCAAAAAUCAUGGAGAAGUAAAUCAAGAAAAGCUCGUACCAGGCCAAUGAAAAGUAGAAACGAACGGCAAAAUCUGAUAAAUCAGAAUACAGGGAGAAGGGAUCACCAAAUCAAGCAUGAGGCUGGAAACGCAAAACUACUCUGUGUUCCCAUUAUUGGCAGCCAUAUUGUGUUGAUUGAAUGAAUAGCAAUAGAGUUGCAGAAAGAAAGAAGGAGAAGAAGGAAAACAGUGAUCUGAAUCUGAAUCUUCCUUCUUGCAAAGAGGGGUUGUGUUGGUGAAUAAAUGAGAGGAGAAAAGGUGUGGCUUAAAAAAGGUUGUACUAGCCGUUGCGGAAAUCACCAAACCCUAUUUGCGUAAAUUGUUCAAAUAAUUUGAACGUUGCAACAAAAGAUCACAACGCAACCGCUAAUAGCCAAGAAUACAAGAGGCCCCGUCCCCCAAAC